UACGUAGGGUCCAAGCGUUAUCCGGAAUCACUGGGCGUAAAGCGUUCGUAGGCGGGUAUUUAAGUGAGAUGUGAAAGCGUGUGGCUCAACCAUAUCGUUGUGUCUCAUACUGGGUACCUGGAGGAAGGCAGAGGCAAGUGGAAUUGGCAGUGUAGCAGUGAAAUGCGUAGAGAUUGCCAGGAACACCAAUGGCGAAGGCAGCUUGCUGGGCCUUUUCUGACGCUGAGGAACGAAAGCGUGGGGAGCGAACAGG
rnacentral:rRNA from 1 species